rnacentral:lncRNA from 1 species
UAAAAACCUUUUUAAAACAUACUGUUAAUUCAGUUUGUAAUAACUUUAAUUUUCUUUUUCUGUAUUUAUGAAGGUAACACUAUAAUCUUACACCCCAGCAAUAAAGGUUAAUAACAUUAUUAACCUUUUAUUCUUUGCAUUCUUUUUUUUCCUGUUCAUUAAUAGAAAUUUAAACUAAAUUUAUUUAUUUAUUUAUUUAGCGGUGCAAGGGAUUAAAUCCAGGGCCUCAUGCAUGCUAGGUAGGUAUUCUACCACUGAUCUACAUAACCAGACCUACAUUUAAAUUUUUAAAUGUAAAUGGCUUCUGUAUAGUUUUAUAUUUUAAUUUUUAAAUUUAAUAAUAAAUUACAACUAUUUCCCAUGUCAUCAAAAUCUCUUCAAAACAUAACUAGUAACAUAAUAAUUAAUAAUAUAUUAAUGCUUUUAUGUAUAUCUUCCCACAAAAGGCUUUGAGCACAUCUGUAAUUAUUCCCUUACAUUUAUUCUUAGAAGUUGAGUCUAUUUUUAAGUCUUGAUUUAAAAAAUAAUUUUGUUGGGUCAAGUUUUAAAACACUUUGGAGCAGUCUGUAAAGAAAAAGCGUAUUUUGGUACCAGGGAAUGAACUCAGGUCCUUGUACUUGCAAGGCAGUCGGCAGCGCCACUGAGCUAAAUCCCCAGUCAGAAAAAGCGUAUUUUGGGGCUGGGGAGUUAGCUCAGUGGUGCCGCUGCCUGCCUCACAAAAGCAUAUUUUAGUAACAUUUUUUAUUUAUAAAGUUGGCUCUGAGAAGUUACAUUUUCUUACUGAAAUCUUUUACUUUCUUAAUACUUUGAUUCCUUAAUGGGACCUUCACCUUCACCAUAUCAUACUUCUUUGUUUUAUAGAGGAAGAAAUUGAAGGCCUAGGGCAUUUGGGAAAUGUUCAAGAUCACACUGCAAGUGUUGGCAAAGCGCUAAAAUAAGAACUCCAUGCUAGCACUUGUCUCUUAUCCCGUGGUACUUUUUAUAUUCAUGGAAAGUGGACUAGAGAUAGGUAUUUCUUCUGGUCAUUUCAGUGAGACAGUCAGGUGUCAAACUCUGCAUGCUCUUCUAAAUCAGGUUUGCAAAGUACUCUUGUCCAGUGGUUUUACUGUAUCAAAGCAAUAAAGAACUUGAAUACUGUACCUGGAAUUUCUAAGCUUGGAUAUCAUUAGGGAAGUUGCUUGAUUAUUGCAGAAUGACUUUGUUUUUGUUGUAAAGACCUAUACACGUACCUGUUUUUUCUUUUCAGUCUGUAACCUGUGUAUAUGGAGUUGAAGUUGCCGUGCAAUGAAACUUACAGUAUUUAUAUAGUUAUUCACUGGGUAUUUGAUCAACUUUUUACUACCAUAUUGAUUUUAGAUAAAAGCAAGAACUCUUGUUCCUUUUUUUUUAUUUCUAAACUUUUAUGCCAUAUCUGUUAUUGUACAGUUAAGAAACAGAGUCUUGAAAAGAGAUAAUAAAACCUUACCUUGAGAUGGAGAAGGCAGGCAUGGCAUUGGCCUGGUCCUUUGAUUCCCUGGGGUUGUUGAUAGGCUUGGAGGACCUCUACGUUGAGCAUUGAUAAUUGGCUUUCUGAGGAAGCAUCUACUCAUUACUCAGUAAUGACAAAAAUCAGCACUUCUGUCAGAUGCCAGUCUCAAGUGAGAGUUCUUCUCAGAGACCAAGUUAGAAGGUGUUUCUUUUUGUUUGUUUUGUUUUUUAUUUUUUGAGUCAGGGUCUUGCUCUGUAAUUUAGGCUGGCCUUGAACUCACUAUGUAGACCAGGCUGGCCUCAAACUCACAGUGAUCCUCCUGCCUCAGCCUCCUGAAUGCUAGUAUUACAGGCGUGAGCUACCGUCCCUAGCUUAGAAGAUGUUUCAGUGGUCUUCUAGUCUCACUUCUCUCACUCCAUUAUAGGCUUCCUUCCAUUCUCCAUCUCCCCAGAGAACUUUAGUUUGGUAACAUUUCUUGGUAGAGAGGUUACUAAUUUUUCAUUGAACAAUAAAGUAUUUCCUUAUUCAUUCAAAACAUGCACCCAUACACACAGUACUUACUGUGGGGCAGGAACUGAGUUAGGCAUUUGUUCGCAGGAUGAAGAUGAUGAAGAUGUGGCCUCCCUUUUUAAAUGAUAAGCUCACUGGUGUAUAACAGGCUUGCUGGUAAUUGUAUGUGUCUUCCUGGCUCUGGAUUCUGAAUCUGAACAUACUUUUGCUGCUAUAUGAUAAAAAGGGCAGGGAAUUGGAAUCAGAAGAUUUAGGUUUGAAUUUUGGCUUUAGCACUUACUUAACUAUAAGCUGGAACAAAUUGUUAACCUAUGAGCCACAGUUUCUUGUGUGCAAAGUGUGGAUAGAAGAGAAGGUAUAGGAUCAUACCUUCCAAUCUGUUUUACACCAUACAAGUGGUAGACUUUUCUUGUUUUUCUUUGCUUAUUAUCCAGAAUUAUGUUUUCUCACCAGUGGGUUUAUGGAGAAAGAAGCUCAGUUACAAUUCUUUCAGUGCUGCUGAAUAUACUGAGAAUGGAAAAAUAAACAGGGUUGUAUUGGUUUUCUGGCUUGUAAAUCAAAAAGUAAUUUUUAGUGCCAAAAACUAUGUUUGUCUUGAGAAGUCAGGAAUGUUUUUGCAUUGUAGAACAGCUUCAGAUUCCGUGGUGGAUCUCUUGGGGAAUCGCAUGGUUUGGGUUUAGGUUCUGUUGUGUAUGGGGCUGGCUUCUCUGCAAUGUAAAUCUUGCUUACUGUCCUCAGUUCCUGCUGGAGUAAAAUACAGGCUGGCUAGGGUAGUUUCUGGUCAGGACUUCUAAGCCAGCCAGGGCAGCAUACCUCUCUUGUAGCCAGGCCUUGGAAAGACCUCCAAGCACAGGUCCCCAGCCCAGUCCUCUCCACCAGGCUGGUCUGGAGUCACCAGGUGGCAGUGAGGUGGCAGAAAAGUGGCAUCAAGGGCUUUGCCUCUACCAGGGCUGAAGGUACAGGUUGUUAAAUUAAUAUGCCUGAUUUUUCAUCACUGUGAGAAAAUCUUCUGGAAUUUCUACCCCACUGAAGACCUCAUCUGUGUAGUUCCCAGAGAACCAGAACCUCCAUGCAGAGGGCUGAAAGCUCUCUACCCUGCAAACAAGUUCAGGAAAGAAGCAGAGUGAACAAAUGCAAACCCGAGUUCACCAUAGCCCUGCUUAAAGCCCUCUGUGACUCCCCACUGGCAAAUUCACUCUUGUUUUUGACCUACAGAGCCCAGCUGAUGGGCUCCUGCCCCCUCUCUAGCCUCAUCCUGAGCCUCACACACUGAAUGCCGCAAGUGUACAUAACCUGGAGACAUGAUGAUCUCUGGAUUUAUCUAUCAAUCUAUCUCAAUUUAUUUAUACAUACAUACUGGGGAUUGAACCCAGGGCCUUCACAUUAAGCAACAUGCCCAUCCCUUUAUUUUUUUAAAUUUUGAGACAGGGAUUCACUCAACUCCUAAGUUAUUCAGGCUGGGUGCGAACUUGUGAUCCUCCUGCCUCAGCCUCUUAGACUACUGGGAUUACAGAUAUGUGUGACCAUUUGCAGUUACCUUGCCAGUCCUCUGCUGAGAAAUUCCUGCCUAGCAGAAUUAACAAAAGCCCCUUGAUGACAGUGGUAGUCUAACAAAGUAGGUAACUGUUAGAGGAAGUAUUUUGUGUCUGGAACAGAUGUUCUCAGAAUUUUGUGUUUGGGCUGUUCCACUACAAAAACAAAAACAGAAGGACAGGAUGAAGGGUUCACAAUGUCAAAGUCAUGUGAACUCAGAGGAUAGAGAGAUUCUUGUUGGCUGCUCUGGGACAGUUUGCCCCUCCCCCAACCGUUUCACUCUGCCCUAAAGACUUGAAGGCCAACGGAGAAUGGAUGGAUAUCCUGGGGACCAGAGGGAGUGAUGAUGACUGAUAGAGCUGGUGGCUUCUUGCUGAAUUGAGACUACUGAAGUGGCCUCCCUGUGGGACACCUGAAGAAGCUGUCCUGUCAUUACAGGUCAAAGUUCUGGAUUUCAUGGCACAUUUCUGAGUGUUGGGUUAUGAGAUCACUGCAUGAGCAUGUGCGACAAACAUGAUCUCUGUGAUCAAUUUGACACCUGUUUUCAUCUAGCUCAUGACAUCUUAAAACAUAGAUUGCUAAUCUGGAAAGCAACUAGUACUGAGAUAACAAAGCUGUCAUGUAGUGACUGUUCACUGCAUACCAAGCACUAUUCUUUUUUGUUUGGGGUUUUUUUUGGGGGGGGAGAUGAUUAGGGUCUCGCCACAUAGUUCAGGCUGGUCUUGAACUCACUAUAUAGCCCAGGCUGGUCUUGAACUUGCAGUGAUCCUCCUGCCUCAGCCUCCCAAAUGCUGGGGUUACAUGCAUGUACCAUAAUGCCUGGCUCCCAAGCACUGUUCUCUAAGUACUUGUGUUAAGGCUGAUUUAAUCCUUCUGAUAAACCAGUGGGCAUGGUGUUUGCUUAGAGGUUCACCUUUAAAGAUAAGCAAACUGAGGUGAAUGAGAGGUUAAACAGUUUGCCCACAGUUUUAUAAGUAGUGCUGGAAGCACUUGGUCCAAUACAGGUAGCCUGGUUCCUGAGUCCGUGUUCUUAAUUAUUAUUGUAUAGGAAAAUGUUCUAUUCUCACACCAUUCUUAGUACUUCCGUUCUGCUACCAGAGGUGUGUGUAUGAGUCUUCCACAUAAAACAGUUUUCUAGUUCUCUAUGGAUACCACGGGGCGGGGGGGUGUCUAACAAAUCAGUUCUCUACACUAACGAAUUAAAGCAGAGCCCAAAGCUCAAUUCCACAGAUUACCCUCACUUUUGACACCAAUUUCAAGUAGUAGGUCCCUAGUUUAUCCAGAAUUUCUGUCCACUUUGCCUACAAAUUAGAGGUUCUUGUGACCUCCUCCUUGGGUUCGAUAGCUCACAGAACUCAGAAAACAGCUUUCUUGUUAUGUUACCAGUUGAUCAUUAAGGAUGAACUACUUAAUACAAAGAAUAGGCAUGUAGAAGAUACUUAGGGGAUACUUGGGAGGGUCCUGAGCCCAGCAAUUCCUGUCCCUAUAGAGUUAGGGGUGCCACCCUGCUGGCACAUGAAGCAUUCUUGUUCAACAACUCGGAAGCUCCCUGCACCCAUCUUUUUGGAUUUUUUUAUGAGGACUUCAUUUAUAAACAUAAUUGCUUACAUUAUUGGCCAUUAGUUUAUUCAAUUUCAGCUCCUCUCACUUCUCUCCUGGGAGGGGGGCCUGAAAAUUCCAGCCCUCUAAUCAUAUGGUUGGUUCCCUUGGCAACUAUUCCCCCACCCCUUAUGGUUAUCAAAGGGCUUUUCAUAAACCACUUCAUUAACUUAAACUCAGGUGCCACUGAAAGGGUUUUUUCUGGUAGUGCUAGGGAUCAAACCCAGGGCCUUGCCCAUUCUAGGCAAGUGCUCUACCGCUGAACCACAUCCCCAGCCCCAUUUUACUUUUUUGAGGUUAGUAAGAUAUCACAAUUAUUUUUUGUUUUCUGACAGACUUCCUGCUUACAGUCAUCUCUUAAUAUCCUUGGGGAAUUGGUUCUAGGAUCUCCUCAGAUAGCAAAAUCUUUUGCUGUUCAAUUCCCUUAUACAAAGUGGUAUAAUAUUUGCAUAUAAUCAUUGUCUAUUCUAUAUAUUUUAAAGUGUCUCUAGAUUACUGAUAAUUUGUUCAUUGUGCCUAAUACAAUGUAAAUGCUAUGUAAACAGCUAUUAUGCAUAUAGUUUGGGAAGAAUGAUAAGUCUAGGGCCGGAGAUUUAGCUCAGUGGUUCCGCCGCCUGGUUCACAAGAGCAAGGACCGGAGUUUGAUCCCCAGCACCAAAAAAAAAAGUCUGCACAUGUUCAGUGCACAUACAAUUGUUUUCUGAAUAUUUUCUAUUCAUACUUUAGUUGAAUUUGUGAAUGUAGGCGUGGGGGAGGUCCAGCUGUAUAUUGGUCAGUAUUCUCUUAACUGCAGAUGACAUCAAAACGCAAUCUGUGCUAGCUGAAGCCAAAGAGGAAUUUGUGGGCCACAGUAGCCUGGCUUAUAUAACCAGACCAAGGGGCGGAUAUGAGUAUGCUGGCCUCUGAGAGAGAUGAAACCAGACUUUCUCCGUCUUUCUCCCUUACUGAGAUCAUCUUGGUUUCUUGGGCUGUUCUUUGCUGUUUAACAGGAAACAGUACGCACUGACCUCAUUUCGUAGGUUAUCAAUGGAGAGCCUCUUCCCUUGAUUCCAACUUGAAAAGUCCAAGGGAGGAGCCAAGGCUUAGCACAUGUGCCCAUCUAGGUGGCCACUGGAUGCCUCCGUGAUAGGCAACAACUUUCAGACCUGGGUAGUUUGAAUGGGGAGGAACAGCGCUCAGAGGAGGGGAGGACACUGGCCAGAGAACAAAGCUACCCUUCCACUGUGGUUCAGCUCAGGCCCCUAAAAGUUUUUCAGUUUAAGGAUUAGUGCUGUACUGGGUAUGGUGGUCCUUGCCUGUAAUGCCAGCACUCAGGAGGCUGAGGUAGAAGGACCAAGGGUUUGAGCUACAGAGCGAUACCUUAACCUCAAAAAACAAAACAAAAAAUCCAAAAAACAAAAAGGUGAGGAUGGCAGUACCUACUUGUAAUCUCAGCACUCUGGAAGGCUUAGGCAGGAGGAUCAAAAGUUCUGGCCCUAUUAGUCACUUAGCAAGAUUCUGUCUCAAAAUAGAAAAAAAAAAAAAAAAGCCCUGAGGGUAUAGUUCUGUUUCCUGUCAUUGCUAAUUUCUGUGAUGUGUUUUGAAGGCCUUGGGUUCAAUCCUCAAGAACCACCACGAAAAAAGAAAAAAAAAAUAGCACUUUUCUGUGUAAUGAUAGUUAUUAUUCAUUGCAUUGACUGAGGCAGUCUCUAUUCUGAGUUAUCAAAGAAACUCUCCAUUUACUGUUUGCUAAGAAAAGUGAUUAUAACAACAGGAAAAUGUCAACAAGGUUGACAUAGGAAGGACUUUCCAGUUGACCUCUCUUACUUUUUGUUGUCUGACUAAAAGAUAUUUAUUUACUCUAUAUUGGUUAUUACUUCUUAUUUUACCCAGUGGUUUUGUAAAAUUAUUUGUUCUCAAUAAUGUGUUUGCAUUCCAGUGGUCAGCUCAUUACAUCCUGUUUUCUAAUAGCUAACUAUAUCUUGUGUUAGUCUUCCAAUCUCAUGGGUCAUAAUUUCUUUACUUGUUUGGGUGGGCUGACUUUUGUAAUAGACUGAAAGGCGUAGAAAAGAUCAAAUCUUGAUAAAAGUUUCUUAGUUGCAUAAAAUUUAAAAUAAGUGUCCUUGAUCAAUAGAGCCUCCUCUCCAAAUGGUGAUUCAGGGGCCAUCUUUGACCCAUGAGACCCAAGGCAACCAUGCUGGCCUGCGAGGACAAGCUCACAGAAACGGAAAGAGCCUGGAGGGUCACAGGUAAGAAGAUUUUCAGGGCCAAGUCUGGAAGUGGUACAUCCAUGACAGCUUGUUUACAUUCUGUCAGUCAUGAGGCCACACCUAACUUCACCAAAGGCUGAGAAAUGUGACCUGGCUGAGUGUCCAGGAAGAGAGGAACUGAAUUUGAACAGUUAUCCAGUCUCUGCCACACGCUUUGGUGACAUUUGUUAUUUUCUCCCUAUUUCCCUUCCCUUGCAUAAUAGCUGUUUGGUUGGUAUUGAGUCCACUCUCAGCUCCAUGGUGGGCCCCACACUCUCCUUGCAGCAGUUGUUAGUUCAGUAAUAGUUGUAUAACCCAGGCUUAAUCCAGGCAGAGGGCAUAGAAUGCUUCUGGUCUCAGCUACUAGUCCAGGGGCAGGCAUGUGAUGUAAAGUGUCCCAAUCACUGUGACUGGGGGAAAAUACCAACCACUACCUCCUCGCAGGGAGAGCAGAGUCAGCUCGUGGAGGACAAACUUGGAGGAUUCCUGAGUCACACAGAGCUGGAGUCCUGUUGAAAUUCCUUGAAGCUGACAAGAUCUGAUGCUGUGCAAGCUAUUAAAUCCACUUCAUCACAUAAUAAUCAGAAGUUAAUUAAAAAAAAAAGAUAAUUCUGCUGGGGAUUUAGCUCAGUGGUUCCACCGCCUGCCUUGCAAGCGAAAGGACCCGAGUUCGAUCCCCGGUACCAAAAAAAAAGAAGUAAAUUUUCUUACAACCAAAAGCAUUCUGAUUGAUAAACUUAUAAAAUGGAAAGGAAAUGAAGAGAGAAAAGAUAGAAGCUGGAUCUCCAAGUUCUGUUUCCUGCCAUUGCUAAUUUUUCUGUGAUGUGUUUUGAAUACCCAAGCAUUACAUCAGAGCACCUCCAACUUGAGCAAAAUGCCACAUGGCAUUCCUGAGUGAACAUUUUGAAAGAGUUGUGUGGCAUCCAGUGAGGCAUUUGGAAGUCACCUGGUAAGUAUGUAGGGACUGUUGGACAAGAAUCUCAUUUGCACAAUCAGAAGCCCUUGGCUCAGCACACAGACACCUCAUAUACCUGUGGUUGCAAAUGUAAGCCAUUGAAGUCCCCAGCCUGACUCACCCUCUCAGAAUAUGGAGAGUAGCAUAGGGGUGACAACCUCAGCAACCUCAUCUCGAAAAGGGUUUGAAGUAAUUUAAAGAAUACUUAGGGUAGGAUAAAAAAUGGAGAAGAGAAUUGGGCCAAAGAAACACAAGAGUGACUUAAUAAUCAGCUGAGCUGGAGUCAAAGAGGUAUAUGGAAGUGCAUGCCACCCAGCUGGGCAUUGUUGGCCCAGGGGCCUGGGCUUCACAUUGGGCUCUGAGCUUCCCACAGCCUCACUGAACAGGAAAACUAGCUGUGACUCAGGAGGAGUUCAAAUUUCUGAGCUGAAAGAAACUGCUCUCCUAGAUCCCUUUUGAGGGCCAAGACUCUCAAGAAUGUUCCCCUAAUAAGUGUAGUGUGCAUAUGAGGACAGGAGUGACUGGGGUCAUAGAGAAAGCAUGUAGGCAGCACUUGGUGUCCAGCUGUGGGACAUUGUGUUUUGCACACCAUUCUGUAAGGUCAUGUGAUCUUUUUUUUUUUAUUACCAAUGCUGGUCCUCCCUUGUGUGGGGGGCCUAAUGUGGACAAUUGCAUUGAUCUGGUUUUGGAGUUUUGCAUUUUGCAGAAUGUUUACUAGCUAGAGGCAAAGCAGAUGAAAGAGCAAGCGUAGGGGGUGGGAUGACAGAAGUAAUAAGCCUUAGAGGGGAUGAGGGCCCUAGGAGAACAGGUGAGAUAUGGGCCUGGAGGCAUCAGUCACCACAGUGGGCUGAAGUUUACUUGCUUAGCACAGUGCCCAAUAGGUGGAUUGAGUCAGUGUGUGGUAGUGAAGACUGCAGAAGCAGCCAACCACGAAAGUACAGGAACAGCUAUAGCUGAUCUAUGCUGUCAGAAGUCAGCACAGUGGUACUGGGAACGGGUACUGGGCACAUCUAGUGUGCUGCUCACAUUGCAUCUUGAGCUGAUACUGGCUGUACAGGUGUAUUCAGUUUGGGACGAUGUGUCUGUUAGUACACUUGUAUGUGCUUUUGUCUGAGUGUGUUCAGUGAAAUGUUUGAAAGAAAGUAUGUACUUCAGUGCCAGGCCACUUGUUUUCACACCCCAGUUCUGCCACUUUAUAGCAAUGGGACAUUGGGCAAAUUAUGUAACCUCGUUGUGCCUCAGAUUUCCAUUCAGUCAAACAAGAAUAAUAAUGCUUAGCUGGGUGCAGUGGUGCACUCUAUAAUCCCAGCUUCUCAAGUUUGAGGCCAGCCUGGACAACUUAGCAAGACCCUGUCUCAAAAUAAAAAAUAAUAUAUGAAUAUAAGUAUCAUGCAUUAACCAAUUGUAGCACUGGAGCUCCUAUAUAUAAAUAAAAAGGGCUGGGGAAGUAACUCAGUGGUAGAACAUUUGCCUGGCAUGUGCAAACCCCUGAGUUUAAUCCCCAGUACCUAAAUAAAUAAAGAAAAGGCUAGGAUGCAAUUCAGCAGCGCCACACCUGCCUAGCAAGCACAAGGUCCUGAGUUUGGUCUCUGGUACCAGGGAAAAAAAAGAACAAAAGAAAAUAACAUGUAUCAAAGAAGUACCUGAGGAUUGAAUGAGUCAGUACUUGCCAAGUACAUGAGUGUCUCUAGUAAAUAGUAAACAUUCCCUGAGAAUUACCUGUUACUUGUUACUUCUGUUAAUUAUUAUUAUUAUAAAUGAGAAUUGUAUGAGGGAAAACUGAAGAAUUGCUUGUGGACAUUCUACAAAAUGAUAUUCUGAGUGUGGCCAUGCAGUUGUGUCUGGAGUGGAAUGGGAUUGGAUUGCAUGUCUUAGAGUUCAAGCAGGGGAACUGGGAGGGAGUGGUGUUGCCAUAUUGGCCUUAGUGUUGUCCACGUGAUGGCAGGGGAGGACUUGGGGUGGUGAAGACUGAACUUGAGGGACUGAGAUUCUUGUUGUUCUUUGCUUUUUGAGACAGGGUCUCACUAUGUAGUUCAGGCUGGCCUUGAACUCAUUGUGUAGCCCAGGGUGGCAGGGAACUCAGGGUGAUCUUCCUACCUCAGCUUCCAGAGUGCUGGGAUUACAGGCAUGCACCCCACCCCAGGCACUGAGAUUCUUUUUUCAAAAUUUAUAUAUUAAUUGAUACAUUUUAGGUGUACAGUACAUUUACACUUAUCAUUGCGUGUUUGUACCUGAACAUGAUGUAUCUUAGUUCUUAUUUUUCCCCCAUUACCUAUGUGCCUUUCACCCCCACCACCCUUCCCUAUUUACAUAGACUUUGUUUCCAUUUUUUUUUCUUUCUCAUAAUUUUUCCUUUCCCUUCUUCCCUUUCCCCUUCUCCUCCUGCCACCCCUACACCUUUGGACCUUUUCCUACGUCAAAUUAUCAAUUAUUCAUUUUAAUAAUUUUCAUCCUUAUUUACACUUUCAGUUUCUCACACUAGAGAAACUAUUCGGUAUUUACACAUGUGUGUCCUAUUUAUUUUACUUAAGAGUAUGGCCUCAAUAUGCAUCCAUUUAGCUAUAAAUGACUCUAGUUUCUCGUUCUUUAUGGCUGAGUAGUACUCCAUUUUAUAAAAAACCCACAUCUUCUUUAUCAGUUUUCCAGUUGAUGGGCACUUGGGCUGUUUCCAAACCUUAGCUAUUACAAACUGUGCCGCUAUAAACAUAGGUGCACAUAUAUCGCUGUGGUAUGAUUCUUUUAAUUCUUUGGGGAAGAUACCCAGUAGGGGAAUAGCUGGGUCAAAUGGGACCUCUAGUCCUAGUUCUUUAAGGUAUUUCCAUACGGAUUUCCACAGUGGUUGCACCAGUCUGCACUCCCAC